rnacentral:misc_RNA from 1 species
AAACUUAUUUAAUUAUAUUAAUAAGUGCAAUAUUUAAUCAAUAUAUAUUUAAUUAACUUUUUAAUGAUCCACUGAUUAAGCCAUUGACUCAUGAUCAACCUGAUCCUCAACAAUAACUAUGGUUACAUGUGUCCUUAUUCUUGGUUCUCUUUGUUAUAGUACUAAUUUUCAAUAAGAUCUAAUAAUGUUAAGAUUUUAUAGACCAUUACAUUCCAUGUCAUCUUCAAGAUAUUUAUUUCAUCAGCUAGAAACAAUUGAUAGCUAUUGAAUGUUAUUAUUUGGUAAGCCAGUGUUAGUCGUUGCAAAUUUUAUUUUUUCCAAUUAAAAUGUGAUACUUUUUUUUUUUUAUUGUGUUAG